ACGAACGCUGGCGGCGUGCUUAACACAUGCAAGUCGAACGAUGAUCCGGUGCUUGCACCGGGGAUUAGUGGCGAACGGGUGAGUAACACGUGAGUAACCUGCCCUGGACUCUGGGAUAACCCCGAGAAAUCGGAGCUAAUACCGGAUAGGACCUCGAAUCGCAUGGUUUGGGGUGGAAAGUUUUUCGGUCUGGGAUGGACUCGCGGCCUAUCAGCUUGUUGGUGAGGUAAUGGCUCACCAAGGCGUCGACGGGUAGCCGGCCUGAGAGGGUGACCGGCCACACUAGGACUGAGACACGGCCCAGACUCCUACGGGAGGCAGCAGUGGGGAAUAUUGCACAAUGGGCGCAAGCCUGAUGCAGCAACGCCGCGUGAGGGAUGACGGCCUUCGGGUUGUAAACCUCUUUUAGUAGGGAAGAAGGGCUUCGGCCUGACGGUACCUGCAGAAAAAGGACCGGCUAACUACGUGCCAGCAGCCGCGGUAAUACGUAGGGUCCGAGCGUUGUCCGGAAUUAUUGGGCGUAAAGAGCUCGUAGGCGGUUUGUCGCGUCUGCUGUGAAAUCCCGAGGCUCAACCUCGGGCCUGCAGUGGGUACGGGCAGACUUGAGUGCGGUAGGGGAGAAUGGAAUUCCUGGUGUAGCGGUGGAAUGCGCAGAUAUCAGGAGGAACACCGAUGGCGAAGGCAGGUCUCUGGGCAGUAACUGACGCUGAGGAGCGAAAGCAGUGGGGAGCGAACAGGAUUAGAUACCCUGGUAGUCCAUGCCGUAAACGUUGGGCAGCUAGAUGUGGGGACAUUCCACGGUUUCCGCGUCGUAGCUAACGCAUUAAGUGCCCCGCCUGGGGAGUACGGCCGCAAGGCUAAAACUCAAAGGAAUUGACGGGGGCCCGCACAAGCGGCGGAGCAUGCGGAUUAAUUCGAUGCAACGCGAAGAACCUUACCAAGGCUUGACAUGGCCGGAACCGGCUGGAACAUGUGCACUUCCCUUUGGGAACUCGGUUCACAGGUGGUGCAUGGUUGUCGUCAGCUCGUGUCGUGAGAUGUUGGGUUAAGUCCCGCAACGAGCGCAACCCUCGUCGCAUGUUGCCAGCGCGUAAUGGCUGGGAACUCAUAUGAGACUGCCGGGGUCAACUCGGAGGAAGGUGGGGACGACGUCAAAUCAUCAUGCCCCUUAUGUCUUGGGCUUCACGCAUGCUACAAUGGCCGGUACAAAGGGUUGCGAUACUGUGAAGGUGGAGCGAAUCCCAAAAAGCCGGUCUCAGUUCGGAUUGGGGUCUGCAACUCGACCUCAUGAAGUCGGAGUCGCUAGUAAUCGCAGAUCAGCAACGCUGCGGUGAAUACGUUCCCGGGCCUUGUACACACCGCCCGUCAAGUCACUGAAAGUUGGUAACACCCGAAGCCGGUGGCCUAACCCCUUGUGGGAGGGAGCUGUCGAAGGUGGGACUGGCGAUUGGGACU
rnacentral:rRNA from 1 species